rnacentral:rRNA from 1 species
UACGUAGGGUGCAAGCGUUGUUCGAAAUCACUGGGCGUAAAGCGCGUGUAGGCGGUCUGUUAAGUCUGAUGUGAAAGCCCCGAGCUUAACUCGGGAAGUGCAUCGGAUACUGACAGACUAGAGGACAGAAGAGGGAAGUGGAAUUCCUGGUGUAGGGGUGAAAUCCGUAGAUAUCAGGAGGAACAUCAGUGGCGAAGGCGGCUUCCUGGUCUGUUUCUGACGCUCAGACGCGAAAGCAUGGGGAGCAAACAGG